rnacentral:tRNA from 1 species
GAUCUUUUAGUAUAUUUUUGUAUGCCCGACUUCCAAUCGGUGGGAAUUGAAGAUUA